rnacentral:sRNA from 1 species
UAACUGUCAAUUCGAUUUAAAUUUAAGGUUCGAUAAGGAAGAGAUGCUGUGGAACAUAGCAUCCUUCAGGUGGAAAAUAAUUGUCUGUCAACUGGGACACAACGUGCAAGCAGACUCAAAGAUUUGUCUUUUGGCCGAAAGUUCGGGAAUGAAGCGGACUUUAAAAACGUUUGGGGCUCUGCCAAGCACGAUCUUGGCUCUCCAAUUAUUUUGAUGCCGCUUAGAAAUUAUAGGAUAUUGGAUGAUUGGUUCUCUCAUGAGUUUUCUGCCCAUUAUUCAACUUUAAUAUUAACAACCAACUGAUAUCGAUGAAAAACCGCAAAUCUUUGAAAGAACAAAUACUACCUUAUGAAUUAUUACAAAACCAAUAUGAGAAACACGGACUUAAAAUAGACUCACCCACACAUCUGUAGAAACAAUGGCUUGGAAUAGCGUCGAGGGACUUUUGAAAAAUCCCUUAUCAAUUCAACACUUCUGGAUACACCAUCGGAAUGUGGCCGCCACUUGCAGCCGGCAAUUGCCAACAAUUGCCAGUUGCGAGACAUCAUAUGGAAAACUUCCAUGCCCCGAAGGGAUGAUGACAAAUAAGGAUGAGUUUACUAGCAUAUUACUCUCUUUCUCGCUUUCCUUCCGCUGAUUUAAGAUCCAUCUAGUGGAAUCACUUGCAACGCCAAGAGGGCAAGAAAAUAAAUAAGAGGUUGCAUCUUGCUUCGCAGUGCAAUGAGUACAUACCCUUAAUUGGUCUCUCAAAGGGAAACGGCGCUGCGGAUGACUAUAGAAGAUUUAUGCAGCUGAAAUGCGAAUGGAUCGGACUAUAUUGGUGUUUAUAAUUGCAGUCCCGAAACCGGAUUUCAUUAUUUUGGACAAUAUUAAAGUUAAGUCAUCAUUAGAAAAUGCAAUCAACACUCCCCAGAAGAUAUUAGAACCUUAUCUCUGUAUGUAGGGGAUCUAUCUUUUAUAGUAGUUGAUACCAAAUAUUCUUAUUCAGCCUCCUCGCAC